rnacentral:rRNA from 1 species
ACGUAGGGGACGAGCGGUGUCCGGAAUUACUGGGCGUAAAGGGCGCGCAGGCUGUGCUGCAAGUCAGCUGUGAAUUAUCUGGGCUUAACCCGGUUAUGCGGUUGAGACUGCAGUGCUUGAGUGCUGUAGAGGCAAGCGGAAUUCCCAGUGUAGCGGUGGAAGGCGUAGAUAUUGGGAAGAACACCGGUGGCGAAGGCGACUUGGUGGGUAGCACCUGACGCUGAGGCGCGAAAGUCAGGGGAGCAAACGA